rnacentral:RNase_P_RNA from 1 species
ACGCGUGGACAGGCGGCCGCUGUCGGGCGCCUUCGAGCCCCCGUCAAGCAAGGGAGGGGCGCCCGGCGGAGGAAAGUCCGAACACGGCAGGACACGAUGGUGGGUAACGCCCACCCGCCCGGUCGACGCGGGCGAGGGACAGCGCCACAGAGAGCAGACCGCCGAUGGCGCCCCCCGCAAGGGGCGCACAGGCAAGGGUGAAAGGGUGCGGUAAGAGCGCACCGCCUGGCUGGCGACAGUCAGGGCACGGCAAGCCCCAUCGCGUGCAAGGUCAAGCAGU